AAUUACUUAACUAAUUUAAGUAUAUAUUUUGAAAGUAUAGAAUAGAUAAAAUCUAGUAAUUU
rnacentral:tRNA from 1 species